rnacentral:rRNA from 1 species
GAUGAACGCUGGCGGCGUGCCUAAUACAUGCAAGUCGAGCGAACGGACGAGAAGCUUGCUUCUCUGAUGUUAGCGGCGGACGGGUGAGUAACACGUGGAUAACCUACCUAUAAGACUGGGAUAACUUCGGGAAACCGGAGCUAAUACCGGAUAAUAUUUUGAACCGCAUGGUUCAAAAGUGAAAGACGGUCUUGCUGUCACUUAUAGAUGGAUCCGCGCUGCAUUAGCUAGUUGGUAAGGUAACGGCUUACCAAGGCAACGAUGCAUAGCCGACCUGAGAGGGAGGUUGGAUAGACGGGAACAGAGAAUCGGCACAGACACUGACACGAGGACGCAGUAGGGACUCUUCCGGGAGGGGGGAGUGCCGGAUGUUGCAACGCCGGGUAAGUGAUGAUGGAGUUCGGCUGGUAGAACUAUGUAGGUAUGGAAGUUGUAAAGUGUAAGUAACUGUGAUCAUCUUGACGGUACCUAAACAGAAAGCCACGGCUAACUCCGUG